GACGAACGCUGGCGGCGUGCUUAACACAUGCCAGUCGAACGGAAAGGCCCUUCUUUUGUGGGGUGCUCGAGUGGCGAACGGGUUAGUAACACGUGAGUAACCUUCCCUUUACUUUUGGAUAACUUCAGGAAACUGGGGCUAAUACCGGAUAGGAGCUCCUGCUUCAUGGUUGGGGUUGGAAAGUUUCGGCGGUUGGGGAUGGACUCGCGGCUUAUCAGCUUGUUGGUGGGGUAGUGGCUUACCAAGGCUUUGACGGGUAGCCGGCCUGAGAGGGUGACCGGCCACAUUGGGACUGAGAUACGGCCCAGACUCCUACGGGAGGCAGCAGUGGGGAAUAUUGCACAAUGGGCGGAAGCCUGAUGCAGCAACGCCGCGUGCGGGAUGACGGCCUUCGGGUUGUAAACCGCUUUCGCCUGUGACGAAGCGUGAGUGACGGUAAUGGGUAAAGAAGCACCGGCUAACUACGUG
rnacentral:rRNA from 1 species